GAAAUCUUCCUAAAAUUAAAUAAAAGCAUGUAAAAACGCACAUGGGUUUGAAAGUGUUCUAAAAAUCAUAUAAAUAGACCAAUAAUAACAAUUGAGUCACCGUGCUAAAACCACGGAAUUCGGGAAUGCCUAACACCUUCUCCCGGGUUAACAGAAUUCCUUAUCCGAAUUUCUGGUUCGCGGAUUGUAAUACAGAGUCAAAUUUUUCCUCGAUUUGGGAUUUGAACCGGUGACUUGGGACACCAUAAAUUAUCCCAAGUGGCGACUCUGAUUCUUAGAUAAAUAAUCUCGUUUCGAUUGUCACUUUAAGUUGGAAAAAAACUCCCUUAUACCCUUUCCGGGGUAGGUAAAAAGGGAGGUGUGACAAGAUGAAGUUACCCUUCCUUAUAGCACCUGAACUUAAGAAACCAUAUUAUUAAAAGAUUUGGCAUUUGUUUCAGUUACAUAUGCAAUUAAAAAAACAACGAUUUGAAAAAACUUACCUGUUUCAACUUUUUGGGUGUAUUUCUUAACUUGAUUAGUAGAUGAAGGCAAUGGAAUAUCAACUUCCAUGUACUCUUUAUCAAGAACGAUGUUGUUUUUAUGUAUCAUUCCUUGACUAGAAAACGUGGUAGAUUUUUUAAGCCCCUGUCCUCGUCCCUUCCCUGUAGCACCUGUCAAAAAGAAAUCAGAUUACUAGCACUUCGGCAUUAAAAUUCAGUUAUGCAAAUUAAAAAUAUUAUAUUUAAAAAGUCUUAGUUGUUUCAAUUAUUUGGAUGUAUUACUUAAUUAGAUCACUAGAUUGAGGAAAUAAACUCUUAGUUGGCAUAUUCUCCUACUCAACGAAAGAUUUAAGUCCUCGUCCUCGUCCCUUUCCUAUAGCUCCUGGCACGACGAGUGCAUAUUUGGCAGCAAUCCUCGUAGUUGAUCCCACCUUAUUUUGCAUCCAUUGCUUACUAGGUUCCAUAACCUUGGAGAGUAGAUAAAAAUUAGAUUAAAAAAAUAUAAAAGACAGGAAAAAUACUAAGAUGAACACAAGUUAUUACAAUAUGCACAAAAUUAUGUUGAAGUCUAAGGUCGCACUAGAGGAUUAGGCUUCUUUAUCUUUUUAGUUAAUGCAUUGUAAUGUACAUCAGAUGAAAAUGCUUGCCAUUUUAAAAUUUCAAAAAAUACUGAGAGUAUAAUCUUAUACUUGUUUCAAUAGUUUAGAAAUAUUACUGGAAAAGAAAAUAAUGAUAUCAAACAAAGAAAUGUGAUAUAUAUUUGCAACAAGGUACAUUUUUCAAUCUUGCUUACAGGAAUACUACUUGCUGAAGACAAAGACUCGCCAAUUGAGCACAAGGGUGAGGUUGACUAUAUUAGACAUGAAGUUCAGGAUUUCUAUCUCGAUUUCUAAACCGAAUAUAGUAAGGUCAGACGAUAUAUUAGGUGUGAAUAUCAACCAAUUGGGUUGACUCCUGUGAAAUUUCCUUCUUAAAUUCCUAACCAUAUCCAUAACAAAAGAUAAAGUAGUAAGUAUAAUAUUUAAGAAGCUUUUUCCAAGGGUUCAUGGUCUCUGACUCCUUUACAUUAAACUACUGCUACUUUCUAGUAAUACCAUCGAGACUCAACCUCUACCAGUUGUAGAUAGUUGUCCCAAUAUUCCCCAUGUGACCCUACACUCCCCCUAUCCCCCGAGUAUUAAUCUUCCUCCGAGCAAUAAAUUAGGCUAAUCUCUUUUUUGCAUUUUUCUUGCAACUCCUUUCCAUAUACUUUCCCCCAAACUACAAACAUGAACAAAUAUAAAUAUACAUUUACCCUAUUUGAAGAUUAAUUCUUCAAACACACAGUAUGCUACAAAUAUGAGUAUACUUCAGAGAAAUCAAAUUAGGAAUCCCAAUCCAAUAAUAUAUUUAUUGAUUAUACAAAAAAGAAACGAAAUUAUGAAACAUUUUACCAAUUUAAUGUCAGAGAAGAAGGAGAAGAAGGACUUAGAGAAGAAAAAGAGCAACUCAGAAGAGGAAGCAUACUUGGGUUUCACAAAUGAGCGAGGUUGAAAACUAGGGUAGACCUGCGAUUUUUUAGGAUCGAAAACCCGAGUAGUGCGGAAUUUAGCCAAACAAUAUUAUAAUGACAAUAACAAAGACAAUGCCAGUUGAUAAUAAUGGUAAUUAAAGCAGAUAAAGAAGACACCAAUUUAAUGUGGUUCGGUCAGUGUGACCUAUGUCCACAAGCGGAGAGGAGCAAUUUCACUAUAACAAUAAGAGUACAAAAGAGAGUACAAAAUUAGAGUAAAAACUCUAAUUAUUCCCAAAUAUCCCAAAAGAAUAAUCUCACAAGAUCACUCCAAAGAAGGGUUCACACAAGUAUUUUCCGACACUCAACUCUCUUACAAAAUAAUCUUAAUUCCUAAAGAAGGAGGAGAAGAACAAGAAAUGAAUAAUUCAAA
rnacentral:lncRNA from 1 species